rnacentral:rRNA from 1 species
UAAGUGGAGAGUUUGAUCCUGGCUCAGAAUGAACGCUGGCGGCGUGCCUAACACAUGCAAGUCGAACGAGAAAUUUCCGCUUCGGCGGAAAGAGUACAGUGGCGCACGGGUGAGUAACGCGUGGGUAACCUGCCUUUGAAUUUAGGAUAACCCCGUGAAAACGGGACUAAUACUAGAUAAUGUCCCUUUGGCUUUGGCCUUAGGGAUGAAAGGUGACCUCUUCAUGAAAGUUGCCGUUCAAAGAGGGGCCCGCGUACCAUUAGCUUGUUGGUGGGGUAACGGCCUACCAAGGCUACGAUGGUUAGCUGGUCUGAGAGGAUGAUCAGCCACACUGGAACUGGAACACGGUCCAGACUCCUAC